rnacentral:rRNA from 1 species
CUCUUCGGAGAGAGUGGCAGACGGGUGAGUAACGCGUGGAAACCUACCCUUUGCUACGGAAUAACCCUUGGAAACGACUGGUAAUACCGUAUACGCCCUUCGGGGGAAAGAUUUAUCGGAGAAAGAUUGGCCCGCGUAAGAUUAGAUAGUUGGUGGGGUAAUGGCCUACCAAGACUACGAUCUUUAGCUGGUUUUAGAGGAUGAUCAGCCACACUGGAACUGAGACACGGCCCAGACUCCUACGGGAGGCAGCAGUGGGGAAUCUUAGACAAUGGAGGAAAGUCUGAUCUAGCCAUGCCGCGUGUGUGAUGAAGGCCUUAGGGUCGUAAAAUUCUUUCAGAUGAGAUGAUAAUGACGGUAUCUGCUAAAGAAACCCCGGCUAACUCCGUGCCAGCAGCCGCGGUAAUACGAAUGGAGCUAGCGUUGUUCGGAAUCACUGGGCGUAAAGCGCACGUAGGCGGACUAUAAAGUUAGAGGUGAAAUCCCGAAGCUCAACUCCGGAACUGCCUUUGAUACUGCUAGAUCUUGAGUUCGAGAGAGGUGAGUGGAAUUCCUAGUGUAGAGGUGAAAUUCGUAGAUAUUACGGAGGAACACCAGUGGCGAAGGCG